UACGUAGGGGGCUAGCGUUGUUCGGAAUUACUGGGCGUAAAGCGCACGUAGGCGGAUACUUAAGUCAGGGGUGAAAUCCCGGGGCUCAACCCCGGAACUGCCUUUGAUACUGGGUAUCUCGAGUCCGGGAGAGGUGAGUGGAAUUCCGAGUGUAGAGGUGAAAUUCGUAGAUAUUCGGAGGAACACCAGUGGCGAAGGCGGCUCACUGGUCCGGUACUGACGCUGAGGUGCGAAAGCGUGGGGAGCAAACAGG
rnacentral:rRNA from 1 species